GGGCAGCACCCCUCUGUUCAGCUGGUAGAACUCCACCAGGUGGAUCAGGUCGGUGAACUUGGUGGCGCCGUCGUCGAGGCUGAAGAACACCUGACCGUCCUCCUCCAACUUCACGGAGACAACAGAGAAAAAAAAAAAAGGUGACUGACCGGUAGAAUCUGGAAGUGCUUGAUCUUCUGGUGGUGGCACAAGGCCCGUCAGGAUGAUCUUACCCGUCGACUAGACCUUGCUGAGUGAUCAUUCUGUGGGCUUCAUCUCUCAUGAUGCGACCGUGAAACCACACCUGUGUCCUGUGGAUCACUGAACGACAGCAUUUGACGUUAGCG